CCCGCUGAACUUAAGCAUAUCAAUAAGCGGAGGAAAAGAAACUAACAAGGAUUCCCUUAGUAACUGCGAGUGAAGAGGGAAAAGCUCAAAUUUAAAAUCUGGCAGUGUUUCACUGUCCGAGUUGUAACCUAGAGAAGUGUAACCUGCGCUGGACCGUGUAUAAGUCUCCUGGAAUGGAGCAUCACAGAGGGUGAGAAUCCCGUCUUUGACAUGGACCACCAGUGCAUUGUGGUUGUGCUCUCAACGAGUCGAGUUGUUUGGGAAUGCAGCUCUAAACGGGUGGUAAAUUCCAUCUAAAGCUAAAUAUUGGCGAGAGACCGAUAGCGAACAAGUACCGUGAGGGAAAGAUGAAAAGAACUUUGGAAAGAGAGUUAAACAGUAUGUGAAAUUGUUGAAAGGGAAACGUUUGAAGUCAGUCGCGUUGGUUGGGGAUCAGCCUGACAUUGUUGGGUUUACUUCCUGGUCGACGGGCCAACAUCAGUUUUGACUGCCAGAAAAAGGCCAAAGGAAUGUGGCACCUUUGGGUGUGUUAUAGUCUCUGGUUGUAUGUGUCAGUUGGGAUUGAGGAAUCCGGUAUGCAAGUACCUGGGAUGUUGGCGUAAUGGCUUUAAACGACCCGUCUUGAAACACGG
rnacentral:rRNA from 1 species